rnacentral:tRNA from 1 species
ACUGGAAAAAUAUGUCAAGACACGGAUUCAAAAUCCGGUAUGGGUAAUUCCAUGUGUGGGUUCGAGUCCCACCUCCGGUA